UACGUAGGGUGCAAGCGUUAAUCGGAAUUACUGGGCGUAAAGCGUGCGCAGGCGGUUUUGUAAGUCUGUCGUGAAAGCCCCGGGCUCAACCUGGGAAUUGCGAUGGAGACUGCAAGGCUUGAAUCUGGCAGAGGGGGGUAGAAUUCCACGUGUAGCAGUGAAAUGCGUAGAGAUGUGGAGGAACACCGAUGGCGAAGGCAGCCCCUCGGUCGAAGACUGACGCUCAUGCACGAAAGCGUGGGGAGCAAACAGGAUUAGAACUACCCGUGUCA
rnacentral:rRNA from 1 species